GACGAACGCUGGCGGCGUGCUUAACACAUGCCAGUCGAACGGAAAGGCCCUGCUUGUGUGGGGUGCUCGAGUGGCGAACGGGUGAGUAACACGGGAGUAACCUGCCCUGGACUUGGGGAUAACUGCAGGAAACUGGGGCUAAUACCGGAUAGGAGCGCCUGCUGCAGGGGGGGGGUUGGAACGUUUCGGCGGUUGGGGAUGGACUCGCGGCUUAUCAGCUUGUUGGUGGGGUAGUGGCUUACCAAGGCUUUGACGGGUAGCCGGCCUGAGAGGGUGACCGGCCACAUUGGGACUGAGAUACGGCCCAGACUCCUACGGGAGGCAGCAGUGGGGAAUAUUGCACAAUGGGCGGACGCCUGAUGCAGCAACGCCGCGUGCGGGAUGACGGCCUUCGGGUUGUAAACCGCUUUCGCCUGUGACGAAGCGUGAGUGACGGUAAUGGGUAAAGAAGCACCGGCUAACUACGUG
rnacentral:rRNA from 1 species